GGAUGAGUGACUGAGUGGUCUAUAGUGCCAGUCUUGAAAACUGGUUUCGUGUUCACGAUCGUGGGUUCGAAUCCCUCCUCAUCCG
rnacentral:tRNA from 1 species